GAAAUCCUUGAUUCUAAUACAGUCGGGGGAUGACGGUACCGGAAGAAUAAGCACCGGCUAACUACGUGCCAGCAGCCGCGGUAAUACGUAGGGUGCGAGCGUUAAUCGGAAUUACUGGGCGUAAAGCGUGCGCAGGCGGUUUGCUAAGACCGAUGUGAAAUCCCCGGGCUCAACCUGGGAACUGCAUUGGUGACUGGCAGGCUAGAGUAUGGCAGAGGGGGGUAGAAUUCCACGUGUAGCAGUGAAAUGCGUAGAGAUGUGGAGGAAUACCGAUGGCGAAGGCAGCCCCCUGGGCCAAUACUGACGCUCAUGCACGAAAGCGUGGGGAGCAAACAGGAUUAGAUACCCUGGUAGUCCACGCCCUAAACGAUGUCAACUAGUUGUUGGGGAUUCAUUUCCUUAGUAACGUAGCUAACGCGUGAAGUUGACCGCCUGGGGAGUACGGUCGCAAGAUUAAAACUCAAAGGAAUUGACGGGGACCCGCACAAGCGGUGGAUGAUGUGGAUUA
rnacentral:rRNA from 1 species